AUUGAACGCUGGCGGCAGGCCUAACACAUGCAAGUCGAGCGGAUGAGAGGAGCUUGCUUCUCGAUUCAGCGGCGGACGGGUGAGUAAUGCCUAGGAAUCUGCCUGGUAGUGGGGGACAACGUUUCGAAAGGAACGCUAAUACCGCAUACGUCCUACGGGAGAAAGCAGGGGACCUUCGGGCCUUGCGCUAUCAGAUGAGCCUAGGUCGGAUUAGCUAGUUGGUGAGGUAAUGGCUCACCAAGGCGACGAUCCGUAACUGGUCUGAGAGGAUGAUCAGUCACACUGGAAGUGAGACACGGUCCAGACUCCUACGGGAGGCAGCAGUGGGGAAUAUUGGACAAUGGGCGAAAGCCUGAUCCAGCCAUGCCGCGUGUGUGAAGAAGGUCUUCGGAUUGUAAAGCACUUUAAGUUGGGAGGAAGGGCAGUAAGUUAAUACCUUGCUGUUUUGACGUUACCGACAGAAUAAGCACCGGCUAACUCUGUGCCAGCCGCCGCCGUAAGAC
rnacentral:rRNA from 1 species